AACGAACGCUGGCGGCAGGCUUAACACAUGCAAGCCGAACGGGUGUAGCAAUACAUCAGUGGCAGACGGGUGAGUAACACGUGGGAACCUUCCUCGUUGUACGGGACAACUCAGGGAAACUUGAGCUAAUACCGUAUACGUCCGAGAGGAGAAAGAUUUAUCGCAAUGAGACGGGCCCGCGUCGGAUUAGCUAGGUGGUAGGGUAACGGCCUACCAAGGCGACGAUCCGUAGCUGAUCUGGGAGGAUGAUCAGCCACACUGGGACUGAGACACGGCCCAGACUCCUACGGGAGGCAGCAGUGGGGAAUCUUGGACAAUGGGCGCAAGCCUGAUCCAGCCAUGCCGCGUGAGUGAAGAAGGCCUUAGGGUUGUAAAGCUCUUUUGCCAGGGACGAUAAUGACGGUACCUGGAGAAUAAGCCCCGGCAAACUUCGUGCCAGCCGCCGCUGUAAAAC
rnacentral:rRNA from 1 species